UACGGAGGAUGCAAGCGUUAUCCGGAAUCAUUGGGUUUAAAGGGUCCGUAGGUGGACCGGUCAGUCAGAGGUGAAAUCCUGCAGCUUAACUGUAGAACUGCCUUUGAUACUGCCGAUCUUGAGUCAUUGUGAAGUGGUUAGAAUAAGUAGUGUAGCGGUGAAAUGCAUAGAUAUUACUUAGAAUACCGAUUGCGAAGGCAGAUCACUAACAAUGUACUGACACUGAUGGACGAAAGCGUGGGGAGCGAACGGG
rnacentral:rRNA from 1 species